GGGGAUGUAGUUAACAAUAACAUUUAAUUUGCAAUUAAAAAGUACUAAUAAGUCUUCCUCA
rnacentral:tRNA from 1 species